AAACGUGCCCGGAUGACUUGUGAAUAGCGGAGAAAUUCCAAUCGAACUUGGAGAUAGCUGGUUCUCCUCGAAAUAGCUUUAGGGCUAGCGUGUAGUGUUAAAUAAUGGUGGUAAAGCACUGAAUAUGGAAUGGCCUCGCCUAGGGGUACUGACUAUAAUCAAACUCUGAAUACCGUUAUGAAUUGCUAUGCAGUCGGAACCGGGGUGCUAACGUCCCGGCUCGCGAGGGAAACAACCCAGAUCGUCAGCUAAGGUCCCAAAAUCGUGUUAAGUCAGAAAGGUUGUGAGGUUUCAUAAACAACUAGGAAGUUGGCUUAGAAGCAGCCAUCUUUUAAAGAGUGCGUAAUAGCUCACUAGUCAAGAGACCUUGCGCCGACAAUGUAACGGGAGUAAAACACGAUACCGAAGCUACGGGUACAUUUAUGUACGUUAGAGGAGCGUUCUUAGGGCAAUGAAGCUAGACUGUAAAGACUAGUGGAGCGCUAAGAAGUGAGAAUGCCGGUAUGAGUAACGAUUCGUAGUGAGAAUCUACGACGCCUAUUGGGGAAGGUUUCCUGGGCAAGGUUCGUCCACCCAGGGUUAGUCAGGACCUAAGGCGAGGCUGAAAAGCGUAGUCGAUGGAUAACAGGUUAAUAUUCCUGUACUUUCUUUAAUUGUGAUGGAGUGACGGAGAAGGAUAAGCAUACCUAUUAUUGGAUUUAGGGGUAAGUAGUUACUGGUGAUUGUAGGCAAAUCCGCAAUCUAUAACUGGGAGCUAUGAUGCAUAGGACUUUUGUCUGAAUUUGCCAAUUCCAUGCUUCCUAGAAAAG
rnacentral:rRNA from 1 species